UUUAAGGGCAAACUUAUCGAAAGGUAAGGACGCAAAGCUGAGGACCUAAGGUCGCAAGACUAUGGUAGCCGGUUGCCGC
rnacentral:ncRNA from 1 species